rnacentral:misc_RNA from 1 species
GAUGAAGAACGUAGCGAAAUGCGAUAAGUAGUGUGAAUUGCAGAAUUCAGUGAAUCAUCGAAUCUUUGAACGCACAUUGCGCCCCUUGGUAUUCCAUGGGGCAUGCCUGUUCGAGCGUCAUUUGUACCUUCAAGCUUUGCUUGGUGUUGGGUGUUUGUCUCGCCUUUGCGUGUAGACUCGCCUUAAAAUAAUUGGCAGCCGGCGUAUUGAUUUCGGAGCGCAGUACAUCUCGCGCUUUGCACUCAUAACGACAGCGUCCAAAAGUACAUUUUACACUCUUGACCUCGGAUCAGGUAGGGAUACCCGCUGAACUUAAGCAUAUCAAUAAGCGA